UAGGGAAUCUUCGGCAAUGGACGGAAGUCUGACCGAGCAACGCCGCGUGAGUGAAGAAGGUUUUCGGAUCGUAAAGCUCUGUUGUAAGAGAAGAACGAGUGUGAGAGUGGAAAGUUCACACUGUGACGGUAUCUUACCAGAAAGGGACGGCUAACUACGUGCCAGCAGCCGCGGUAAUACGUAGGUCCCGAGCGUUGUCCGGAUUUAUUGGGCGUAAAGCGAGCGCAGGCGGUUAGAUAAGUCUGAAGUUAAAGGCUGUGGCUUAACCAUAGUACGCUUUGGAAACUGUUUAACUUGAGUGCAAGAGGGGAGAGUGGAAUUCCAUGUGUAGCGGUGAAAUGCGUAGAUAUAUGGAGGAACACCGGUGGCGAAAGCGGCUCUCUGGCUUGUAACUGACGCUGAGGCUCGAAAGCGUGGGGAGCAAACAGGAUUAGAUACCCUGGUAGUCCACGCCGUAAACGAUGAGUGCUAGGUGUUAGACCCUUUCCGGGGUUUAGUGCCGUAGCUAACGCAUUAAGCACUCCGCCUAGGGAGUACGACCGCAAGGUUG
rnacentral:rRNA from 1 species